rnacentral:rRNA from 1 species
CCCUUAGAUGUUCUGGGCCGCACGCGCGCUACACUGAUGCAUUCAACGAGUCUAAAACCUGCUCUGAUAGGGGUGGGUAAUCUUUUGAAUGUGCAUCGUGAUUGGGAUAGAUGAUUGCAAUUUUUCAUCUUCAACGAGGAAUGCCUAGUAAACGCAAGUCAUCAGCUUGCAUUGAUUACGUCCCUGCCCUCUGUACACACCGCCCGUCGCUCCUACCGAUUGAAUGAUCCGAUGAAUAUCAUGGAUUGAGGAUGCAAGCAGGUUCGCCUGUCUUCAUCUUCGAGAAGUGAAGUAAAUCUUAUCAUUUAGAGGAAGGAGAAGUCGUAACA